AUUGAACGCUGGCGGCAUGCUUUACACAUGCAAGUCGAACGGCAGCACGGGGGCAACCCUGGUGGCGAGUGGCGAACGGGUGAGUAAUGCAUCGGAACGUGCCCUGUCGUGGGGGAUAACACAUCGAAAGAUGUGCUAAUACCGCAUACGACCUGAGGGUGAAAGCGGGGGACCGUAAGGCCUCGCGCGAUAGGAGCGGCCGAUGUCUGAUUAGCUAGUUGGUGGGGUAAAGGCCUACCAAGGCGACGAUCAGUAGCUGGUCUGAGAGGACGACCAGCCACACUGGGACUGAGACACGGCCCAGACUCCUACAGGAGGCAGCAGUGGGGAAUUUUGGACAAUGGGGGCAACCCUGAUCCAGCCAUGCCGCGUGCGGGAAGAAGGCCUUCGGGUUGUAAACCGCUUUUGGCAGGAACGAAACGGUGCGGGCGAAUACCCUGUGCUAAUGACGGUACCUGCAGAAUAAGCACCGGCUAACUACGUGCCAGCCGCCGCAGUAAAAC
rnacentral:rRNA from 1 species